rnacentral:rRNA from 1 species
UACGGGGGGAGCAAGCGUUGUUCGGAUUUACUGGGCGUAAAGGGCGCGUAGGCGGCCACCGCAAGUCGGUUGUGAAAUCUCUGGGCUUAACCCAGAAAGGUCAACCGAUACUGCGGGGCUAGAGUGCAGAAGGGGCAACUGGAAUUCUCGGUGUAGCGGUGAAAUGCGUAGAUAUCGAGAGGAACACCUGUGGUGAAGGCGGGUUGCUGGGCUGACACUGACGCUGAAGCGCGAAAGCUAGGGGAGCGAACGGG